rnacentral:rRNA from 1 species
CAUGCAGUCGAACGAGAAGCCACUUCGGUGGUGAGUAUAGUGGCGUACGGGUGAGUAACACGUAGAUAACCUACCCCCUAGUCUGGGAUAACUUUCCGAAAGGGGAGCUAAUACUAGAUAUUAUUAACGGACAUAAGUCUAUUAAUUAAAAGAAUUUCGCUUAGGGAUGGGUCUGCGCACCAUUAGCUUGUUGGUAAGGUAAAAGCUUACCAAGGCGACGAUGGUUAGCGGGUUUGAGAGGAUGAUCCGCCACACUGGAACUGAGACACGGACCAGACUCCUACGGGAGGCAGCAGUGGGAAAUUUUGCGCAAUGGGCGAAAGCCUGACGCAGCAAUACCGCGUGAGUGAAGAAGGCCCUUGGGUCGUAAAGCUCUUUAUCUAAGGGAAUAUAAUGAAGGUACCUUAGGAAUAAGCACCGGCUAACUCCGUGCCAGCAGCCGCGGUAAUACGGAGGGUGCAAGCGUUGUUCGGAUUUACUGGGCGUAAAGGGCGUGUAGGCGGUUUAAUAAGUUAAGGGUGAAAUCCCGGGGCUCAACCUCGGAACUGCUCUUAAAACUGUUGAACUAGAGAAAGGUAGAGGUGAGUAGAAUUCCUGGUGUAGGGGUGGAAUCCGUAGAUAUCAGGAGGAAUACCGGUGGCGAA